rnacentral:rRNA from 1 species
CGUUUAGGACUGCGGAGGGAUCAUUACACAAUAAAAUAUGAAGGCCUGGCUUCGCGGCCGGCUGAAAUAUUUUUUCACCCAUGUCUUUUGCGCACUUGUUGUUUCCUGGGCGGGUUCGCCCGCCACCAGGACCAAACCAUAAACCUUUUUCUUAUGCAGUUUCCAUCAGCGUCAGUAAAAACAAUGUAAUAAUUACAACUUUCAACAACGGAUCUCUUGGUUCUGGCAUCGAUGAAGAACGCAGCGAAAUGCGAUACGUAGUGUGAAUUGCAGAAUUCAGUGAAUCAUCGAAUCUUUGAACGCACAUUGCGCCCUUUGGUAUUCCAAAGGGCAUGCCUGUUCGAGCGUCAUUUGUACCUUCAAGCUUUGCUUGGUGUUGGGCGUUUUUGUCUCCCUCUUUCUGGGAGACUCGCCUUAAAACGAUUGGCAGCCGGCCUACUGGUUUCGGAGCGCAGCACAUUUUUUGCGCUUUGUAUCAGGAGAAAAGGACGGUACUCCAUCAAGACUUUUACAAUUUUAACUUUUGACCUCGGAUCAGGUAGGGAUACCCGCUGAACUUAAGCAUAUCAUA